rnacentral:rRNA from 1 species
UACGGGGGGGGUAAGCGUUGUUCGGAAUUACUGGGCGUAAAGGGCUCGUAGGCGGCCAACUAAGUCAUACGUGAAAUCCCUCAGCUUAACCGGGGAACUGCGUCUGAUACUGGAUGGCUUGAGUUUGGGAGAGGGAUGCGGAAUUCCAGGUGUAGCGGUGAAAUGCGUAGAUAUCUGGAGGAACACCGGUGGCGAAGGCGGCAUCCUGGACCAACACUGACGCUGAGUGAGCGAAAGCCAGGGGAGCAAACGGG